UACGGGGGGGGGCAAGCGUUGUUCGGAAUUACUGGGCGUAAAGGGCUCGUAGGUGGCCAACUAAGUCGGACGUGAAAUCCCUCAGCUUAACUGGGGAACUGCGUCCGAUACUGGAUGGCUUGAGUUUGGGAGAGGGAUGCGGAAUUCCAGGUGAUAGCGGUGAAAUGCGUAGAUAUCUGGAGGAACACCGGUGGCGAAGGCGGCAUCCUGGACCAACACUGACACUGAGGAGCGAAAGCCAGGGGAGCAAACGGG
rnacentral:rRNA from 1 species